ACCCUGUGGCUGACGGAGUUUAGAGAUGGGCAAUCAACUUCAAUAGUUAAUCUGUUGUCUCUAUCUUUACCUUCCUUCCUUCCUUCCUUCCUUCUUUCCUUCCUUCCUUCCUUCCUUCCUUCCUUCCUUCCUUCCUUCAUUAAUUCCUUACUGUGCAUGUGCACGAGUGUGUGUGUGUGUGUGAACUCAGCACCAUGUAGUUUCUAGUGAUAAAACUCGGGUUUUCAGCUUUAGUGGCUUGCUCUGGUGUGUGGAAGAUGGAGUGAGGAGGUGGCUGCCUUAAACCCCCAACUAAUUUCAGAAAUUCCUCCUGGGACCUUGAGGCAGAGAUGGGCAUUUUCCCCAGGCCUUCCUUCUUCAUCAUUCCAGCAAGCCGUGGCUUUUCUCAUGGUUGUCCCUUUCUCCACUGCUGUCUUCGCCUGACUCUAAGGCGGGUCUGUAUGACCUCAUCACACAUCCGUGCUCCAUUCAGAAAUAAGAGGACGAGUAAAUCCUGAAACUCAAGGGGAAGUUUCCUGGGUCUU